rnacentral:rRNA from 1 species
GAUGAGCGCUCGCGGCAGGCUUAACACAUGCAAGUCGAGGGGCAGCGCGGGAUAGCAAUAUCCUGGCGGCGACCGGCGGAAGGGUGCGUAACGCGUGAGCGACAUGCCCGUUGCCCGGGGACAACCGGUGGAAACGCCGACUAAUCCCCGAUGGGAUAUUGUGCCGCAUGGCACGAUAUUGAAAGUUACGGCGGCGACGGAUUGGCUCGCGUCCGAUUAGCUGGUUGGCGGGGUAACGGCCCACCAAGGCUGCGAUCGGUAGGGGUUCUGAGAGGAAGGCCCCCCACAAUGGGACUGAGACACGGCCCAUACUCCUACGGGAGGCAGCAGUGAGGAAUAUUGGUCAAUGGGCGGAAGCCUGAACCAGCCAUGCCGCGUGCGGGAAGGAGGCCCUAUGGGCUGUGAACCGCUUUUGCCUGGGGGCAAUAAGGGCGUCGCGCACGUCCGAUGAGAGUACCAGGCGAAUAAGCAUCGGCUAACUCCGUG